CCCGGCUUCCUCGCGCCGCCCCUGCCCGUGCCUGCCCAGUCGCCGGCCCCGACGCAGCCGCCCCUGCCGGACGGCGGCGUGGGGGAACUCGCCCCCGACCUCCUGCUCGAAGGUCUUUACAGUGGCAUUGGAUGGUCAAUAUUAGGUAAACUGCCUGGUUUGGGAGCACGUUUGGCUGCCUGGAUGCUGCUGCUGCUGCUGUCAAUUUACUCUUGAUCGAUUUCUGCCUUGACAAUCUGGCUUGGUGGCCUUGCGUGCAUCUUCUCCA